GACGAACGCUGGCGGCGUGCUUAACACAUGCAAGUCGAACGGUAAGGCCCUUCGGGGUACACGAGUGGCGAACGGGUGAGUAACACGUGGGUGAUCUGCCCUGCACUUCGGGAUAAGCCUGGGAAACUGGGUCUAAUACCGGAUAGGACUACUGCCUGCAUGGGUGGUGGUGGAAAGCUUUUGCGGUGUGGGAUGGGCCCGCGGCCUAUCAGCUUGUUGGUGGGGUGAUGGCCUACCAAGGCGACGACGGGUAGCCGGCCUGGGAGGGUGACCGGCCACACGGGGACUGGGAUACGGCACAGACUCCUACGGGAGGCAGCAGUGGGGAAUAUUGCACAACGGGCGCAAGCCUGAUGCAGCGGCGCCGCGUGAGGGAUGACGGCCUUCGGGUUGUAAACCUCUUUCGGCACCGACGAAGCGCAAGUGACGGUAGGUGCAGAAGAAGGACCGGCCAACUACGUGCCAGCAGCCGCCGUAA
rnacentral:rRNA from 1 species